rnacentral:rRNA from 1 species
AUUGAACGCUGGCGGCAGGCUUAACACAUGCAAGUCGAGCGGAGAUGAGGUGCUUGCACCUUAUCUUAGCGGCGGACGGGUGAGUAAUGCUUAGGAAUCUGCCUAUUAGUGGGGGACAACAUUCCGAAAGGAAUGCUAAUACCGCAUACGUCCUACGGGAGAAAGCAGGGGAUCUUCGGACCUUGCGCUAAUAGAUGAGCCUAAGUCGGAUUAGCUAGUUGGUGGGGUAAAGGCCUACCAAGGCGACGAUCUGUAGCGGGUCUGAGAGGAUGAUCCGCCACACUGGAACUGAGACACGGCCCAGACUCCUACGGGAGGCAGCAGUGGGGAGUAUUGGACAAUGGGGGGAACCCUGAUCCAGCCAUGCCGCGUGUGUGAAGAAGGCCUUAUGGUUGUAAAGCACUUUAAGCGAGGAGGAGGCUACUGAGACUAAUACUCUUGGAUAGUGGACGUUACUCGCAGAAUAAGCACCGGCUAACUCUGUGCCAGCCGCCGCCGUAAUAC